GUUGCUGCGCUCAUCCUUGACUGGGAAUGUAAAGUGGAAGACCUCCCUUCCAAUUACCUGGGCCUACCUCUAGGCUUGGGCAACCUAAAAAGAGACUCUGGUCUCAAGUUUUAGACAAGGUAGAGAGACGCCUGGCAACUUGGAAAGGUAGAUACCUCUCCCUUGCUGGAAGAGUUACUCUCAUCAAAGUGACUUUGGCAAACAUCCCAGUUACUUCAUGUCCUUGUUUCAGAUGCCAAUACAGGUGUCUAACCGCAUAGAACAACUUAUGCGAAAUUUUCUCUGGUCGGGACAGGCAGAGAAGAUCAAGUUCCACCUCGUUGCCUAGGACAUUGUUUGCCUACCUAGAAAGCAAGGGGGUCUAGGCAUUUGGACCCUCAGAAAACAAUACACUGCCCUUCUAGGCAAAUGGUGGUGGCGCUUAGCCACUCAACUAGAUGCUCUCUAGUCUCAGGUGCUACGCUGCAAAUACCAUAUACUAGAAAGAACAUGGGUGCCAUAGAGGAUACAGAAACACAGAGCAUCAGGGGUGUGGCUGUCUUUAGCCUCUUCAUUGCCUCAGUGCAGAAGGCAUCUUAGAUUCCAUGCCCGAGAAGUCAGCAUGGUCAAGUUUUGGAUGAUUUCUGGCUUGGUAGCUCCCCUCUGUGCAAAGCCUUCCCUGCCCUUUUCUCUCUCUCCUCUAAAAUUAACUAUACCGUCGCCGAUGAAAUGCCUCUCUCUGGUGGACGGAGAACCUGGACUCCCUCCUUCUGUAGAAAUCUCUCAGAUGAAGAAAGCAUGCUGUUCCAACAACUUUUGGGUGCCCUUUCCUCUCACUUCCUCCCACUUUUCGGGAGUGAUUCUAUAGUCUGAAGCCUCUCCCCCUCUGGCCUUUCCAAUGUUACCUCUUUCUACAAGAGACUUACCCAACGGCCAACCUUUCCCCUUAACCCCUCUUCUUUCUUGUCAAAAGUGUGGUCCACCAUUGCCCCACCAAAAAUUCAGUUCUUCAAUUGGAUCUCAGAGAGCCCUCACUAUCAACCAACUUCAAAAACGAGGUCUCUCUACACCCAAUAGAUGUGCUCUCGGUUUUUGUGAGGAGGAAUCCAACCCUCACCUUCUCAUUCAUUGUGAAUUUUCCCACAAUCUUUGGUCCCUUUUGCUUCAACUUUUUAGUAUCCAUUGGGUCUUGCCACCCAUGGUCAGAGCCUUGAUCUCCUACAAUUUUGAACCCAGUGGCCCCUGGCUGGAAAAACCUUAUGGAAGGACGCGGUGGCUGCAACCAUUUGGACUUUUUGGCUUGAAAGGCACAACAGAAUUUCAACGGUGCCCACCUUACACCACCAGCUCUCUUCCACAAGGUAGUCUCGCUGACUACCUUUUGGGCUUCUAACCACAAGACUUUCUCUGGCCUUUCUAGGAACACCCUUCUCUCUCAAUGGAAAAAUGCUCUCAUCCACAUGCCCUCAAAACCCUCAAGAGCGUGCAACUGGCCGCAUCAAGUUAAACUUUGGUGGUUGCUCUCUUGGAAAUCCAGGCCCUUCAGGCGCUGGGUGGGGGGGGGGAGUUCAGGGAUUGCCAACGGAAUGUCCUCUUCACCUUCUCUGUGCACCUUGGGACCUUGGACUCCCAAUACGCUGAAGCUUCGGCCCUUCUUUUGGGCUUGAGAUUUCGCAACCCUUCCUAGGGCACUCACCUGAUUGUGGAAGGAGACUGUUUGAACACCAUCUCUUGGGCAAGAGGCUUGUCCCCCUGGCCUUGGCAAUUGUCUUCCAUUUUUGAUGAAAUUACCCACGUUUGUAGGGGUACGAGCGUCUUAUGGCAGCAUACAUGGAGGAUGUCCAACGAUCUCGUGGACCUACUGGCGAAGGAGGGAGCUCGCUUACAUUUGGAUAUCUAGGCCAGGUCCAACUCCUUUUUUGUUCAGGACCACAACCGUUCUAGAUAGCUCGCCUUCAUACGCGCCAAGACACUGCUCAGUUUUUUACUUCACUUUUUCUCACUGUAAAUCUUGUCUUUAGGGCGAAUCUUAUAAGCCCAACUGCAUGUAAACGACUGGUGUAUUUUUUACUGAUUGCCACCCAGUGAGGGUGCUUUCUGUCCAACACUUUUUGUUAUCUUUGACCUUCUUUAGUAAUACAAUGUUAACAACUAAAAAAAAAAAAGAUCUUUUGGAGCUUUGAUUUGGUUACAUUUUCUUGAAUUUGUGUGGUACUCUUCCCCCAAAUACACAUUUUUGGUGCAUCUAACUUGCUUUCUUUUCUCCCAAAAUAUUUUUUGUAGGUAUGAAGCUUGGGUCAUAUAUAAUUUUCUUUCUUUGUGCCUUGCAUGGGUUGGAGGUCCCGGUGCCGUUGUGUUGAGCUUAAGUGGUCGGGUUUUGAAACCGUCAUGGUAUCUGAUGACUUGCUGCUUUCCUGCUAUGCCACUUGAUGGGUGUGUUCCGUUUCCUUGAAUUUGUUUACUUAGCUGUUUAUGGUUGGUUAUGAAAUUUUUUGAUUGCUUAUGUCAUCUAUAUUUGUUUAUAUGGUAAAUGCUCAGAAUUUCAGAGCAGGUUUAAAUUUUAUUAUGACUUAACUCUUUUCUCUUGAUGGGUGUACAGGCGCUUUAUACGAAGGUGCAAGCAAGGGGGUUUGCAGUUUGUGAUUUUGAAACCCAUCCUGGUCGCAGUUACAUUCAUAUUGUAUGCUAAAGGAAAAUACGAGGAUGGAAACUUCAGUGCAAAACAAGCUUAUCUCUAUGUGACAAUCAUCUACACCAUCUCAUAUUCAAUGGCUUUGUAUGCCUUGGUCUUGUUCUAUGUAGCAUGCAGAGACCUGCUUCGCC
rnacentral:lncRNA from 1 species